rnacentral:tRNA from 1 species
GUGAGUAUAGUUUCAACCCAAACAUUAGACUGUGAUUCUGAAAAUAGAAGUUAAACCCUUCUUACUCACC